CACGUGAAAGCUGAAACCAAAAGCAUCGACAUUGCUGGCCAGAAGAAGAGGUUCUUUGAGACGUGGAGUAUUUUCAGCACAACGUCGCGCUGGUUCUGAAAUUAAUAUAAGAGGUUGGACAGAGAUUAAGACGACGAAGCUAGAGCACUUUCAAGAUAGAUCUAGGAAGAGGAAUUACUUUUUCGUAUGCAAACUAAGACGGGUACUUCCCGAGGGAAGUGUGAGGAGCAACGGCGUGGUCGAGGUCAAUCGCGAAACAGUAAAUCUCGGCCGUUGCCUGAAUAGAUGUACCGCGCGUGAUUCGCAGGAGCAUUUACAGUUCUUUCGUUGGACAUCCGCUUUGGACUUGAAGCUCCAACUUGACAGUGCUAUUAUUAUUAAUAGUGCGAGAUCCGGAUCUGGACGAGAUUUUGGCUUUGACGCGUGAGAACAGUCAAAAUUGUAUGACCUCAACUGUAAAGGAGGGGAAUAGAAGGCUUAAGUGCCUCAUGUUGUGAGCCUCAGAAAACUGCCCUCGGCAGGAAAAGGGGGGUUCGUGGGAAUGGAGUAUGGUGGGGGUGGCGGUGGUCGUGGGGGUAUACAGCCUCCCCCGACAAGUGCAAGAAGUAUGGCUGGGACAGAUACUACUGAUGCUGCCUGGCUCAAGCAUGAACAAAUGAAGAUCAUGGAGUCCAGACACAAACAGCAAUUGAGCGGUGGGUAGA